GAAAAACCCGCACUUCUGAGAUGAUUUUUGAGAAUUCUGGCGUUUAGAAAGCCGGCGCCCGGGAGGCGCGGGAGCAGCGCCGGGCACAGGAGCGGGCUCGGGGCGCCCACGGCGGGGCCGGCUCGGGCUCGGCGCGGCGCGCCCGCCCCUCACAGCGCUCACGGUGCGGUGCCGGGGUUAAACCCCGCGGUCACACCGCCCCGGGAUGCCGUUCACACACCGCCGGACGGCACCGCGGCGGCUCCGGGGCCGCGGGGGCCGUGAGGGGGGCACCCCCGCGCCAUUUCACGGCGCUCCCGCCGCCUGACGAGCCGCCGGGUGCCCGCGGCCCCGCGGGGCUCGGCCCGGCCCCCGCCCCCGGCGGCGUGAGGGGCGCCGGGCCCGGCGCGGCGCGAGGCGGGAGCGCUAAGAUGGCUGCGGCGGCGGCGGCGCGGGCGGCCCGUACCUGUUUUCUCCUUGAUCUCGCAGAGGACGCUGAACAGGGCGGGUUUCAUCCUGUGGCAGUUCAGGGCGUGUUUCCUGCAAGAGAGCACAGGACAAGCGCAAUAUUUGGUCAGAUUUAUAAUUCAUCUGCUGCCACUUUGAGACAAGAAAAGAAAGAAAGAGGCAAAGUUGUACUUUGAGGGAUGGCCGGACAGACAGACGGAUGGACGGCGGCGCAAAGGCCGGGAUCCACCGGACAGCGUCCAGCGGCAGCGGGCAGGGACCAGCCACAGCCUCCCGCGCACCGCACCGGCGGCAGAACCACCGCACACUUCUACAUUUAUCAUAUCUAUUUUUUUUUUUUUUUUUAAGGAAAGAAAUUAAAUAGCAACUUGGCUCUGCCUUGGCUGCUGGUAAUUUCUCUUACGGCCCCAAGAAGUUGCUCUUAAUUGUGAGACUCCGGGUCUCUGCAGAGGAGCAGGAAGGAGAGAAACAAAAACCACACACACACACCAAAAAUAAUUAAAAAAAAUAAUAAUAUUAAUAAUAAUUUUUUUAAAAGACAAGGUUUAAUUAGACGAAACCAACUUUGCUUGUGCCUCAUCCAGGCUUUGGUCAGUGAUGGUCAUGAUCUGAUGGAGGAUGUCGCCGAUGUCCUGCUUCCUGCCGUCGCCGUCAGCCCCUUCGUGUCCGUGGGGAGGCGGCAGGGCCAUGCCCCCCUGCACCGAGUGCCCGGCCAGGUUGACGCCGGCCAGAGUCUGCAGCAUCCUGGACUGAUCGUCCAUGGCUCCGGGCCGGGCCGCGCUCCGGGCGCUCACGGCAGCGCCUGCCCCGCUCAGUCCCAGUGCCGCGCUCCCGGCCGCGCUCUGCACACACACCACGAAAAAGGGAAAAAAAAUAGCCAAACAAAACAGUAACAAAAAAAACGUAGUAUUUGUGUUUUGACCGGAUCUCAGCUGUUUAUUCCACUCUCUUCUCCUUCCCAGGGCAGUAAAUCACUCUCUUCUUUAGUUACAAUCUUCUUUCAUCAUCAUCAUAUUGGUGCCUCGGAUAAAUGAGCUGAGCAGAUUUCUGUGAGGUUUUCCUGGUACAAUCUUCCUCCAAAGCUUUUUUUUUUUUCCUUUUUUAUGUUUAUUGUUGCUUUUUAUGUCUUUC